rnacentral:rRNA from 1 species
GACGAACGCUGGCGGCGUGCUUAACACAUGCAAGUCGAACGGAAAGGCCCUGCUUUUGUGGGGUGCUCGAGUGGCGAACGGGUGAGUAACACGUGAGUAACCUGCCCUUGACUUUGGGAUAACUUCAGGAAACUGGGGCUAAUACCGGAUAGGAGCCCCUGCUGCAUGGUGGGGGUUGGAAAGUUUCGGCGGUUGGGGAUGGACUCGCGGCUUAUCAGCUUGUUGGUGGGGUAGUGGCUUACCAAGGCUUUGACGGGUAGCCGGCCUGAGAGGGUGACCGGCCACAUUGGGACUGAGAUACGGCCCAGACUCCUACGGGAGGCAGCAGUGGGGAAUAUUGCACAAUGGGCGGAAGCCUGAUGCAGCAACGCCGCGUGCGGGAUGACGGCCUUCGGGUUGUAAACCGCUUUCGCCUGUGACGAAGCGUGAGUGACGGUAGUGGGUAAAGAAGCACCGGCUAACUACGUG